UAGACUAGGAGAAGCAGAGGACCGAAUUAGUGAUCUAGAAGACAGGGAAGCAAAACACAGCCAAACUGAAUUGCAAUUGGAGAAAAAAAUUAAAAGACAAGAGGAAAGCCUAAGGGAGCUAUGGGACAUCAUGAAACGAAGCAACGUAAGAAUAAUAGGGGUUCCAGAACAACAGAAAGAUGAACAAGGAA